GAUGAACGCUGACAGCAUGCUUAACACAUGCAAGUCUACUUGAACUUCGGUUUGGGUGGCGGACGGGUGAGUAACGCGUAAAGAACUUGCCUCACAGAUAGGGACAACAUUUGGAAACGAAUGCUAAUACCUGAUAUUAUGAUUUUAGGGCAUCCUAGAAUUAUGAAAGCUAUAUGCACUGUGAGAGAGCUUUGCGUCCCAUUAGCUAGUUGGAGAGGUAACGGCUCACCAAGGCGAUGAUGGGUAGCCGGCCUGAGAGGGUGAUCGGCCACAAGGGGACUGAGACACGGCCCUUACUCCUACGGGAGGCAGCAGUGGGGAAUAUUGGACAAUGGACCAAGAGUCUGAUCCAGCAAUUCUGUGUGCACGAUGAAGUUUUUCGGGAUGUAAAGUGCUUUCAGUUGGGAAGAAAAAAAUGACGGUACCAACAGAAGAAGUGACGGCUAAAUACGUG
rnacentral:rRNA from 1 species